UACCAGCACCCCGAGUGGUCGGGACGUUUAUUGGGCCUAAAGCAUCCGUAGCCGGUUCUACAAGUCUUCCGUUAAAUCCAGCUGCUUAACAGAUGGGCUGCGGAAGAUACUAUGGAGCUAGGAGGCGGGAGAGGCAAGCGGUACUCGAUGGGUAGGGGUAAAAUCCGUUGAUCCAUUGAAGACCACCAGUGGCGAAGGCGGCUGCCAGAACGCGCUCGACGGUGAGGGAUGAAAGCUGGGGGAGCAACCGGGAU
rnacentral:rRNA from 1 species